rnacentral:rRNA from 1 species
UACGUAGGGUGCAAGCGUUAAUCGGAAUUACUGGGCGUAAAGCGUGCGCAGGCGGUGAUGUAAGACAGAUGUGAAAUCCCCGGGCUCAACCUGGGAACUGCAUUUGUGACUGUAGAGCUGGAGUACGGCAGAGGGGGAUGGAAUUCCGCGUGUAGCAGUGAAAUGCGUAGAUAUGCGGAGGAACACCGAUGGCGAAGGCAAUCCCCUGGGCCUGUACUGACGCUCAUGCACGAAAGCGUGGGGAGCAAACAGG